rnacentral:rRNA from 1 species
UGCGUAGGGUGCAAGCGUUAAUCGGAAUUACUGGGCGUAAAGCGUGCGCAGGCGGUGAUGUAAGACAGAUGUGAAAUCCCCGGGCUCAACUUGGGAACUGCAUUUGUGACUGCAUCGCUGGAGUGCGGCAGAGGGGGAUGGAAUUCCGCGUGUAGCAGUGAAAUGCGUAGAUAUGCGGAGGAACACCGAUGGCGAAGGCAAUCCCCUGGGCCUGCACUGACGCUCAUGCACGAAAGCGUGGGGAGCAAACAGG